rnacentral:rRNA from 1 species
CUACGGGGCGCACCAGUGAGGAAUAUUGCACAAUGGGGGGAACCCUGAUGCAGCAACGCCGCGUGGAGGAUGACGCAUUUCGGUGUGUAAACUCCUUUUAUAUGUCAAGAAAAUGACGGUAGCAUAUGAAUAAGCACCUGCUAACUCCGUGCCAGCAGCCGCGGUAAUACGGAGGGUGCAAGCGUUACUCGGAAUCACUGGGCGUAAAGGACGCGUAGGCGGGUUGGAAAGUCAGGUGUGAAAUCCUACAGCUUAACUGUAGAACUGCACUUGAAACUUCUAAUCUUGAGUAUGGGAGGGGGAGAUGGAAUUAGUGGUGUAGGGGUAAAAUCCGUAGAUAUCACUAGGAAUACCUAAAGCGAAGGCGAUCUCCUGGAACAUUACUGACGCUAAGGCGUGAAAGCGUGGGGAGCAAACAGGAUUAGAUACCCUUGUAGUC